UUGAUCCUGCCGGAGGUCACUGCUAUCGGGGUUCGACUAAGCCAUGCAAGUCGAGAGGGGUAAAGCCCUCGGCGAACUGCUCAGUAACACGUGGAUAACCUGACCUAGGGUGGAGGAUAACCCCGGGAAACUGGGGAUAAUACUCCAUAGGCUACGGAAGUUGGAAUGCUCUGUAACCGAAAGCUCCGGCGCCCUAGGAUGGGUCUGCGGCCGAUUAGGUUGUUGUUGGGGUAACGGCCCAACAAGCCGAUCAUCGGUACGGGCACUGAGAGGUGGAGCCCGGAGAUGGGGACUGAGACAAGGCCCCAGGCCCUACGGGGCGCAGCAGGCGCGAAAACUCCGCAAUACGCGAAAGCGUGACGGGGGAACCCCAAGUGUUCUCACUUCGGUGAGUACUUUUGCAGAGUGUAAAAAGCUCUGUGAAUAAGAGCGGGGUAAGACCGGUGCCAGCCGCCGCGGUAACACCGGCCGCUCGAGUGGUGACCACUUUUAUUGGGCCUAAAGCGUCCGUAGCCGGUCCGGUAAGUCCUUGGGUAAAUCCUAUCUUUUAAGGAUAGGAAUUCUGAGGAUACUGCCAGACUAGGGGUCGAGAGAGGUUAGAGGUACUCCUGGGGUAGCGGUGAAAUGUUGUAAUCCUAGGGGGACGACCAGUGGCGAAGGCGUCUAACCAGAGCGAGCCUGACGGUGAGGGACGAAAGCCAGGGGAGCGAACGGGAUUAGAUACCCCGGUAGUCCUGGCUGUAAACGCUGCGGGCUAGGUGUUGCAUGCUCUACGUGGGCAUGCAGUGCCGAAGAGAAGUUGAUAAGCCUGCCGCCUGGGAAGUAUUACCGCAAGGUAGAAACUUAAAGGAAUUGGCGGGGGAGCACCACAAGGGGUGAAGUCUGCGGUUCAAUUGGAUUCAACGCCGG
rnacentral:rRNA from 1 species